AUGGAGGCGCGGUGCGCGCGGCCGUCGCACGUCCACCAGCUCCACGCUCACCUCCUGGUCUCCGGCCGCCUCCUCGGCGGCUCGCCGGCGCUUGCGCUCCUGCUGCUGCGCGCUGCCUGCCGUGUCCGUGCGUCCCCGUGCCUCCGCCCCCUCGCCCGCCACCUGCUCGACCACGUCCCCCACCCGCCCCCGCACCUUCUCCACGCCGCCUCCCGCCUCGCGUUCCGUCUCCGCCUGACCUCCCUCGCGCUCCGCCACUACCUCGCUGUCCGCGCGGGACACCCGGCCUUCCUCCCGCCCGCCCCUGCCAUUGGCGAUGUGCUCAAGUCUGUCCCUGGCCGCGCAGCCCAUGCCCACGCGUUACGUCUCACUGACGGGGACACGCGAUUCCUGCACAAUUCACUCAUCGCCAUGUACUUUUCCUGCGGGGAUGCCGGCCGUGCUCGCCGCGUGUUCGAGGGAACGCGUGACUGCGACAGGGACGUUGUCUCCUGGACCUCUCUCAUCUCCGGGCUCGUGCAAAGUGGCAGCCCCUUGCAAGCGUUACGGCUGUUUGCAGCGAUGAUGUGCUGUCAUGUCCGUCCUGAUUUUGUGCUGCUUGUCACGGUCCUCAAGGCGUACAUGGAGCUCGAUGACUUGCCAGGUGCCAAAUCAGCUCAUUCCUUGGUAGUCAAGGGUGGCUUCGAUUAUGAACAAGAUGUUGUGACCACGUUGACGGCCAUGUAUGCCAAGUUUGGCUGCAUCGUGGCUGCGAGGGCACUCUUCGACAGGAUCCCGCCCCCGCGGGUAAAUGUGAUCCUGUGGAAUGCCAUGAUAUCGGGUUACUCCAAGAACGGGCUUGCCGGCGAGGCAGUGCAUUUGUUCAAGCAGAUGCAGGUGUUUGCAAGGAGCAUGAGCCCUGAUUCUGUCACGUUGCGGUCGGUGAUCAUGGCCUGUGCUCAGCUCGGCUCCACCGAGCUUGCAGUAUGGAUGGAGGAUUAUGUACGCCGCAGUGAGUGCAGGGAGGAUGUUCUCGUGAACACAGCGUUGAUUGACAUGUACGCCAAGUCAGGGAGCAUUGCCCAUGCGCGCAGAGUCUUUGAACAGAUGCGUGCCCAUGAGCGGGAUGUGGUAGUCUGGAGUGCAUUGAUCUCAGGUUACGGGGUGCACGGCCAUCUCGCUGAGGCCAUUGGUCUGUUUGAGGACAUGAAGCUUGCAGGGGUGAAACCGAAUGAUGUGACUUUCUUGGGGCUUUUGUCAGCGUGCAACCAUGCGGGCGCUGUGGAGAAAGGGUGGUUCUACUUUCAUUCCAUGAAACCUGACCACAAGAUCGAGCCUCGGCACCAGCACUAUGCUUGUGUGGUCGACCUGCUUGCUCGUGCUGGUCAGCUUGACAGAGCAUAUCGAUUUAUACUUGACAUGCCCAUCAAGCCAGAGAUGAGUGUGUGGGGUGCCUUACUUCACGGUUGCAAGAUGCACGAGCACUCAAACAUGGCCAUGGCUGAGAGGGCAGCACAGCACAUCUUUGAGUUGGAGCAGUCCAACGCGGGGCAUUAUGUGCAGCUGGCAAACAUGUAUGCGUCUGCAGGGAUGUGGAGCCAUGUUGCUGGUGUACGGGUCACCAUGAGAGAGAGGGGUGUCACCAAAGCAACCGGAUGCAGCUCCAUUGAGGUCGAUGGAAAGAUGCACAACUUCCAUGCCUGGGAUCACUCGCAUCCAAGGGCCGCCGAGAUUUUCGCCUUACUCUGCCUUCUUUCUCAAAGUCCAACUGGCCAUGAAAUGGGGCAUGCCAGCUGUUGA
rnacentral:rRNA from 1 species